GGUGGGGUGCAGGAGAGGCUUAACUGGCCGAUCUCGAAAAUCGUGCUCCCGGUUACGGGAACGAGGGUUCAAAUCCCUCCCCCACCG
rnacentral:tRNA from 1 species